rnacentral:rRNA from 1 species
UACGGGGGGAGCAAGCGUUGUUCGGAUUUACUGGGCGUAAAGGGCGCGUAGGCGGUAGCACAAGUCAGUUGUGAAAUCUCCGGGCUUAACUCGGAAAGGUCAACUGAUACUGUGCGACUAGAGUGCAGAAGGGGCAACUGGAAUUCUCGGUGUAGCGGUGAAAUGCGCAGAUAUCAGGAGGAACACCGAUGGCGAAGGCAGGUCUCUGGGCCAUAACUGACGCUGAGAAGCGAAAGCAUGGGGAGCGAACAGG